UGCAAGUCGAGCGGACAGAUGGGAGCUUGCUCCCUGAUGUUAGCGGCGGACGGGUGAGUAACACGUGGGUAACCUGCCUGUAAGACUGGGAUAACUCCGGGAAACCGGGGCUAAUACCGGAUGGUUGUUUGAACCGCAUGGUUCAGACAUAAAAGGUGGCUUCGGCUACCACUUACAGAUGGACCCGCGGCGCAUUAGCUAGUUGGUGAGGUAACGGCUCACCAAGGCAACGAUGCGUAGCCGACCUGAGAGGGUGAUCGGCCACACUGGGACUGAGACACGGCCCAGACUCCUACGGGAGGCAGCAGUAGGGAAUCUUCCGCAAUGGACGAAAGUCUGACGGAGCAACGCCGCGUGAGUGAUGAAGGUUUUCGGAUCGUAAAGCUCUGUUGUUAGGGAAGAACAAGUGCCGUUCAAAUAGGGCGGCACCUUGACGGUACCUAACCAGAAAGCCACGGCUAACUACGUGCCAGCAGCCGCGGUAAUACGUAGGUGGCAAGCGUUGUCCGGAAUUAUUGGGCGUAAAGGGCUCGCAGGCGGUUUCUUAAGUCUGAUGUGAAAGCCCCCGGCUCAACCGGGGAGGGUCAUUGGAAACUGGGGAACUUGAGUGCAGAAGAGGAGAGUGGAAUUCCACGUGUAGCGGUGAAAUGCGUAGAGAUGUGGAGGAACACCAGUGGCGAAGGCGACUCUCUGGUCUGUAACUGACGCUGAGGAGCGAAAGCGUGGGGAGCGAACAGGAUUAGAUACCCUGGUAGUCCACGCCGUAAACGAUGAGUGCUAAGUGUUAGGGGGUUUCCGCCCCUUAGUGCUGCAGCUAACGCAUUAAGCACUCCGCC
rnacentral:rRNA from 1 species